GUAUUAGUUAUGUUCUUGAAACUUAAAAAAUUUGGCGGUAUUUUAGUCUAUUCAGAGGAACUUGUCCUGUAAUUGAUAAUCCUCGUUGGACCUUACUUAAAAUUGUAAUCAGUUUAUAUACCGUCGUUAUCAGAAUAUUUUAUAAGAAUAAUAAUUUUCUUUAAUUUUUAAAUAAAUUUAUUUCAGAUCAAGGUGUAGCUAAUGUUUAAGAAGUGAUGAGUUACAUUAAAAUUAUUUAUAUGGAAAUUAUAAUGAAAAAUGAAUUGAAGGUGGAUUUGAAAGUAAAUUUAUAAAGAU
rnacentral:rRNA from 1 species